UUGUUUGCUUCUAGUCAUGGGUGGUGUGUUGAUAUUAGUGAUGAUCGAGUUAUAUUUGUGCAUAUCAAAUGCUUAUGCAACACAUUUGCUGCACUAUUCCAAUUACAGAAGUAAUUAAUUUCCAGUUACUUGAGAUUUUUAAACAGGUUUACCUACAUUUUACGAGAGACACUUAAAAUAAGUAAUCCUCAAUGUGUUUAUCAAACUAACAUUAUGCAUUUUUUUGGAAUAUAUUUUAAUUUUUAAACUGUUGAUUAAGUUAUCAUCAAUCCUUAAUUGUCUAUUAAGUAGUGAACUAAAGUGAUGGCCUAAAAUUAUGACCCACUCCUGAUCCAGACCAGUUAAAGACAUCAAACUGACUUCGGAUUUUUCUUCUACAUUAUAAUAUCAAAGAGCUUGAGGAAGCUAUGAUUGAGUUUAUGGUUAUAACAAAUGCAUCUUGGCCUUGUCAUCAUCAAUAAAAAGGGUGACAUGAGUGCAGCAUAGACGAAUUGAGGAUUUUAACUCUAUUACGUAGAAGAUUGCUUGACCUCUAAAUAAAUAAAUCUGACGAGUAAGCUCAAAAUAAUGUUUUUAGGUUAUAACAACAGAAAAAGUAAAUAAUAUGUUAGUUUACUUUCAUAAAUGAAGCCUAUUGUCAUAGUAAUGGAAAAGAAAAUGUUAGUGUAAUAGUAACUAUACCUUUUAUACUGUAUAAAUCUAAUGUAGGUGCAAACUACUAUAAUUUGGGGAUGCAACACACCAUCAAAAUUAUUUUUAAAUUAGUAGUAUAUUAUUAGAGGUUAUAUUAUUUUUAACAUUCAAGGGGGCGAUUGCACCCUAUCUAUGCACGCCAAUGGAUCAAUUAGAUUUAUGAAAUCCGAUUACAAACACGUCGGAAUUCAAUCUAAAAUUGAAAAUAGCAAAUUCGCUCUUUUUAAUCCAAGCCAAUCCGACUUAAAUGGAUAUCGAAUACGAAAUUCUGAUCACUCCGUUUUUCCUUCUGUUUUAAAAAACAACCACGUCGGAAUUCAAUCUAAACCUGAAAAUGGUAAAUUCGCUCUUUUUAAUCCAAGCCAAUCCGACUUAAAUGGAUAUCGAAUACGAAAUUCCGACCACUCCAUUUUUCCUUUUGUUUUAAAAAACAACCACAAGAAAUAUAAAAAAAAUUGAAAUAGAAGAAAUAACUAUAAAUGUUCUCUCAAAUUUGGUUCAAAAGUGAAACGGAUUCGAAUAUUCCGGUCCUAAAAAUAUAGAUCAACCAGAUUCGAAUCGAAUUUUUAUGAAAGGAUUUGGAUUUAUUCGGAUUGAAUCCGAAUUCCGAUCCAUUGAUAGGCCUAACCCCACCAGUGUAUAAAGUAAAUGAUUUGAAAUUUUGAAUUUAAUGUAAUUUCCAAACAAGAAAUAAAUAAGUAAAUUGAUUUUGGCCAAUGAUCCAGAAAGAAAUGAAUAACUCAUUUUCACAUUUUUCAAACAAUUUUUAAUUUUAAAUAAAUCAGUAAGUUAUAAUGUCACUCAAAGUAUAGAGCCAAACACAGAAACCAAACAAUCAUCCUUCUAUUGAGUCUCCUUAAUAAAAAAGCAUCCUUUACAAUCUACAUAUGAUUCUUCUAUCCUAUAGGAUCAUAACUUUUGCAACACUACUUGGUCCUAAAAUAGGAAAGCUUUUUUCAUUCAAUUUCAUCACUUUUUCGAACAGAUGAGUAUAAGAAAUUAGUAUAGUAUUCAAUUAAAUAGUUAAAUGGGGGUCCAUACGAUUUAGUUUUUUUUUUUAGAAUGAAAAAAUAAAAGUAACAAAAUGAGAUAGUUUGGGGGGUUGUCGAAGGAAUUAACACCAGUUUUAACUUAGAUAUUCUCUAAUUAAUUCUAUCUUUUUGGAAUCUAUCAUUUGAGGAUCCUUUGACUAAGUAAAUCGACACGGCAUGUAUUAGGCUUUAAAAACACCUGCGGCUUUAAUUCAAUUUCAAUGGGUCCUACAAUCUCAAUCCUAUAGAAGACCAUGCAAUGGAUUCAACGCACCCAGAUAUCAUCAUCAUGCUUUAUCAUUAGCCAUACAUAUAAUGAAUCCUUCACAUGAAUUAAAGAAGUAAAUGAACCUCCCCCCAUCCCCCUUUGAAAUUACACAAGUGGAUCACAUGCAAGAUUGGACACACAAGGAAGAUGGUGGCUUGGAGCGAUCAUUUUAAGUUUCUAGAAAGAUUUCUAAGAUAGUAAUAUAUGUAAAUUACAAAAAAAAAGAAAAAAAAAAAUAAAAAAAAGGAGGAAAAAAAAAAAAAAAAAAAAAAAACAGGUGGGAGGGGAGGAGGGGAGGGGAAAGGAAAGGAUAGACGUGGGGGAAGGGAGGGAGAGUAAGUUUGGUCCUUCUAAUAUUCAAAUAAAUAUAAUAUCUUAUGUAGAUAUGAAUCUUAAUUUUUGUAUCUUUAAAAGUACAAAUCAUUCAUCCGUCCCUAGUUACAACAUCUAUUUUAAAAAAGCUUUCAGCUUAUAAAAAAAAAAAAAAAAGAUUUUUUUAGUAAAAAGG
rnacentral:lncRNA from 1 species